UACGAAGGGGGCUAGCGUUGCUCGGAAUCACUGGGCGUAAAGCGCACGUAGGCGGAUUCUUAAGUCAGGGGUGAAAUCCUGGAGCUCAACUCCAGAACUGCCUUUGAUACUGGGAGUCUCGAGUCCGGGAGAGGUGAGUGGAACUGCGAGUGUAGAGGUGAAAAUUCGUAGAUAUUCGCAAGAACACCAGUGGCGAAGGCGGCUCACUGGCCCGGUACUGACGCUGAUGUGCGAAAGCGUGGGGAGCAAACAGGG
rnacentral:rRNA from 1 species